rnacentral:lncRNA from 1 species
GAGAAUUCUAAACAAUGCCCUAGAGCCAAGAAGAAUUUCCAGGGAAUGACAAAAUCCUGGAAGAGAGAGAGCCUUACUCCCUCCCCAAGGCUGGAAUUUAGAGGAAAGGUUUGCCUGCAGCCCACUGGAUGGCCAAGAAGUUUGUUGAGCUAGAGCUGGUCUGCAAUCUGCUGGUAAGUAGGAAACUUCUGUCCAGGGCACAGAGGGGUGGGCAACAAAAUUUUGCAGGGAGCACAAAGCCUGAGAACACAGUGUCCACACCUGGGGGACUAUGUGAGAUGGUCACUGUUGUGCCCAAGAUCGCGAAUCCGAGAAUCCACCAAGGAGCCGACACCGAUGCAAACACACGAGGGUCUAUUUACAAGCUCGAGCUUGGGUCCAAGUGUACCCGACACAGCGGAGCAGGGACUUGGACCCCGAGGUGGGUUUCAGCUUAGUUUUAAGGGCUGGUCUAGGGGACCUCCAGAAGGGGUGGAGCAAUUCCUCAAGUUCUGUUUACAUUCUGAUAUGGGGCCUUCAAGGGCAUUGAGCUCUGUUCUUAUUCUAAUAGGGGCUUCCUACCCUUGGCUUGGGCUCUGUUUUUAUUCUAAUAUGGGGCUUUCUAGGGUGUUAAGCUGUUUUCUUCCUGUAACUGAAGUAAGGUAAAGUUCAGCUCUUAUUCACAGGGGCCUGGGAUGGCUGUACUUGUGCUAACGCUGAACUUAAAGUGGAAUGGCCUUAAUUUUCUCGGCCUCCACAGUCACCAGCCUGGGCAGUGACUGAGCUUGCCAAGGAACUGGGUGCUCUGGGCACGCAGACAAAGGUGCUUUUAGAAGCAAAAAUAAAGGGACACAGGAGUCUGGAACCUGAAGACCAUCCCUUUCUUCCUGCAAUGUCUCUCCAGGGCUCUCCACUGACAAAGUUCAAUACCAUGUUCACUAUAAAGAAGACCGUGAUGGAGCUGGUAAUGAAGGCUGAAUUUGGGGCUGAAAGGGAAAAGCACGGCUAUCCUGCUCAAAUAGCCAGUUUAGAGAAGUUGUCAACAGGAGGAGAGAAGAGCUUGUCCAUUGAACUGUCAACCAGGAACAUGAGUUAUAUUUGGAAUUUACUGCACAGGAAAAUGUCCAGCCUGCUUACAAAGCAUCGAUGGAAGCUCAAAGAAAACCAGAUACAACAUAAUCCUUUCCUUGUGCUAAAUGACACCCUCAUUUACAUCCUUACAUCCAAUUCUCUUUGUUUCAACCUUAACUAAAGGCAAGGAAGGCUUCCCAGGCAGUGUCAUUCACAUGUAUUAGACAGCCCUCGAAUGACAAAAUGCUUCAUUCCAUCUGCUAAUAAAAGUCCAUUUGACACCA